rnacentral:rRNA from 1 species
GAUGAACGCUGGCGGCGUGCCUAACACAUGCAAGUCGAACGAAGCACUUUAAAUAGAUUUCUUCGGAAUGAAGUUUUUUGUGACUUAGUGGCGGACGGGUGAGUAACGCGUGGGUAACCUGCCCAGUACUGGGGGACAACAGUUGGAAACGACUGCUAAUACCGCAUAAGCCUACGGUGUCGCAUGACGCAGUAGGAAAAAUUCCGGUGGUACUGGAUGGGCCCGCGUCUGAUUAGCUAGUUGGUAAGGUAAUGGCUUACCAAGGCGACGAUCAGUAGCCGGCUUGAGGGAGUGAACGGCCACAUUGGGACUGAGACACGGCCCAAACUCCUACGGGAGGCAGCAGCGGGGAAUAUUGCACAAUGGGGGAAACCCUGAUGCAGCAACGCCGCGUGAGUGAAGAAGUAUUUCGGUAUGUAAAGCUCUAUCAGCAGGGAAGAUAAUGACGGUACCUGACUAAGAAGCACCGGCUAAAUACGUGCCAGCCGCCGCCGUAA